CACUGCCCAGCUCGCUGACGAUGUCCCACCUCAUCUGACCCACUGGAGGGGGUUGGGGCUUCCUCUGUCCCCAAGGGAGCUGGCCAGACAUGUAUAGGAGCAGCUGUCAAGUACAGGAGGCUGCUGUCCAGGGCAUCCUCAACCAGCAGGCUCUGGACAACCACCCCAGCCCUCCACAUCCCGGGGUCUGGGACAGUCCACCAGGGUCCUCAGGGGGCCUCCGGGGGACCUCACUCACUCAUAGUGCGUUACGGCACCCUUUGCUUCCUCCCCGUCCCAGUCUGCAAACUCCCUCACGUGUCCUGCACGAGCUCCCCUCACCCAAGUAAACCACCCCACCCAGGUCUUGGCUCAGGCUUUGCUUCUUGGAGGUCCAAACUGAGACGGCAGGAGACCAAGAAUUCUGAAUCCCAGCUCAUGAAACUCAAGAGAGAUGCUCACUUCAUGCAGGCUUUACCAUAUUUUGGGCCAAAGCAACAUAUCCACUAAUCCUGGAAGAAUGUCAGCAGAGCAAGAAAGAAAUCCGCUUGCUCCAGCCUGCAGCUGAGCAGAGAUCCUGGGUCUGGUUGACAAGUGUGCAAGAAACAGCAAGCUGGCCAGCAGUCAGCCUCCAGACGGGAGUUAGCCUGUCCCAGCAAAGAACCGAGACCUCAUGUAAAGCUUCAGCACUGCUAGGACCACAUGCCCUCUCCCCACCGAGCACCCAGGACUGCUGAGCCAGAAGCAAAGAAACUCAGGCCAGAUUUCAGGAAUACACACCCUAAGCCCACACCGUUGUUCUUCUGACAACCAACUCUGACCACAAAACAGCCCGCCUGCUGUCUGCACCAGUCUCAUGAAGAUGCCAAACAAAUGGACUCAGGGAAUUGAGAAGUCGGGCAAAGCUUCUGGAGUCCAAACCAUUUUCUUUCUUUUCAAAAAGUUUUUUAUUAAGUUCAUCUUUAAAAUGACGAGUGAUGGAAGAUGACCCAGACCUACAGCAAAUAUUCUCCUCCCCUCAUCUCUGUUCCCACUGCCACUCCUGCUCCAAGGUGACCUUCGGGGAUUGUGUCUGGGUGUGCCCUCUCACAUUUUGCUCCACGUUGACAUAAACACAUGGGGAUUUACUGAGGUUUGUGUUUACAGAACAGGGGGCAGUAAUGGGGGUCACCACCAUUGUUUAGGGCACAGAUCCUGGCUAGGCCACUUAAAGCUGUGUGUGUUUGGGGGCAGGUUACUUGUGUCUCUGUAACUCUGUUCCCUCAUCUACCAAGUGGGGUUAAUAAUAGUGCCAGCCGCAUCGUACCGUGAGCGUUGUAUACAGAGCCUAGGAUCUGCCAUGCGAGGAUUUGCCAUUGCUCUUAUCUUUUAACAGGUUUUCCUUUCUCAUUUAACAAUACAAUAUGCACUUUUUUUAGGUCAACAGGUGUAUAUCUUAACACACAUAUCUCAUUCCAUCCUUGCAAUAACUCCCCGGCAGCAGGUAGGUAUUAUCAUCCUGUUUUACCCCUUAAAAAAAUUAAAGGGUUCAGAGACGUUAAUUUGCCCAAGGCCACAUGGCCAGAGGGUAUUAUCAGAUGAUGAGGGGAAACAGAAUAAAUUUUUGAAAAUUAACACACUCUGAACUGUUGGGGGUACUUUUCAAGCAAGGGUGGAAUCCAGUUCAUGCUCUUCCCUCCUCCCCAGAUGCCCAGUUGGGGUGCCUCUCCCCCCAUUUCAGAAUCUCUCCUGGACCACUCCUCUCUGCAGCUUUCACGGGCUGAAUGGAUAAAGCUCCACCACACUCCAGCAGUCUCCAUCCUGCCCAGCUCCUCCCUUACUUACGUUUUGGGUCAUUUUGAUCACUUUUACUGACAAAAAUAGAGGUGGAUCAAAGAGCAGGGACAUUUGAGGCUCCAGUGAUAAAACCUUGGUUUUGAUGAGUGGGUCCUGCAAGGAGGCACACGCUGGCCCCGGCCAUCCACGUGGACCUAGGGCCUGCAGGCCACCCUGGCUGACGUGGUGGGGCCCCUGAAGCUCCUCUUCCUGCUCUCCCCACCCUCACCGCCGCUGCAGGAAAGCAGCCCCCAGCCCCAGCGAGGUCCUCCCUGGGAACCAUCUUGUAGGUGAAAAUAAAGCAGCACUUUCAUCCAAGGAGCUCAGCACAAUCACCGAAAGCACAUGAAAUCACUUAGACCUGGGAGCCCGCAGCCCCCUUGGCUUAAUUACAUGGCGGGCCGGGCUCUGCUGAAAGCAAUUAGAUCUGAGAUCCCCGGCGGAGGCACGCGCACACUGCCCUGCUCUCCACGAGCCGGCUGUCGUCCACGCCCGCCCGCCCUCUCUCAGACGCCUUCUAAGGAUGGAGGCCUUGUGAAUUAGCUGUUUGUUCAGGUGGUUGAGGGCUCCCAGGGCCCGAAGGACAGAGCAUGAAGUUUCCUUCCCUCCCAUCCUUCCUCCAAGCCGCCAAGCUCCCCGCAUGUGACCAGGGCAGGCCAUCCCUUUGGUGUCCUUCCGAAACUGGUGACGCCAUAAAUCCAUCCAUUUGAACGUAGCCUUUCUUCCAGAAGGCAAUCGCUUUUCCAACAGCGGGACUACGAGCGUCCUAUGUCAUCUGCUGGUAUAAACAGCCAACUACUUCCCCCUGGACAAACAAGUUUGCUGCCGUCAGGAGAGCUCCCUGUUGAAAAUCAAAUAAAGCGUUUGAUUCCA